CAUUAUUUGAUAUCAGAUACAAAAAUGAAGACAUUAUGGCGUCUAUGAUCUCACUGAGAGAGCGGCGGCAUGUCCACAAUUGAAAUAACAAUUCAAUUAGUUGUUUUUAUAGAAACAGAAAAAAAAAACAAUAAAACAUUUCAAAAUAAUGCAAAAAAAAUAGUUCUACAUUUGAAUGCUUAGAUUGUUUUUUAUUACAAACAUGUUUUUUUGUUUCUGCUUUUGAAUGGGAAAAAAUAAUCUGCGCAAAUGCACCAAUACACCAACACAACGGAUGAAGAGAGAAAAGUCAGCAGAGAAAGAGAAGUGAAACUGCUUAACUCUUUCUCUACGGCGAUCAUUCUCGAGCCAAGAAACAACAUCAAUGGAUGCACUUCAAAAUCAUUUAAGGCGGUGAACCUUAAUUGGAUUACGUGUUUUUUGCAUACGCAUCCAAAUCGACAUAGCCUCAGAGUAGUUUUCGUUUCUCCAGUGAGUCAAUGUGUUGGAAUAACAAGAAGUAAGCAGAUUUCAUAUGACGUUUGCAAAAAAAAAAAAAAACAGAAAAUUUGUUUUAAUUAUUUAAAAGGAAGGCUUCUUGCAAUUUCUGGGAAAUAUUCAACAAAUGUUUUGCACAAUUAAAUUUAAUACUACCGUUACUCAUCAUCAGCAUCAUCA